CUUAUUUCAGGAUGACCCGUGACGUUGCCCCUAGAAUUGGUUGUCAAAAGCCAUCACUGACUGAAUCCAGAUUUUUCCCUGCUCUUCAGGGGGAGAGCACGAAAAUGUCAGCUAGUGAUCCAAAUUCUGCGAUAUAUGUGAGAGAUAAUGAAGAA